ACACAGGGCUCCAACUCAUGAACAUGAGAUCAUGACCUGAACUGAAGUCGGACACUUAACCGACUGAGCCACCCAGGUGCUCCUAAUGCUACGGCUAUUUAGAAUCUACUUGGUUGACUGACACCUCUACUAUCAUAAAGAGGAUAUAUGGUGUCACUUCAUAAAGUCACUUGAAAAGCUGGGUAAUUAGUAUGUAAUAAACUUGGGCUGAUAAGGAAUGGAAGGUAUGUACAAAGGCUUUUUAGCUUGGCUCAGCAUGUACUUAGUGAGCAAGCUUUCAUGAGAAAUCUGGUGUUUGCAAUCUGGAUAGCUAGAGUAGCAGCUGCAAAAACAGUAAUGUCGUAUCUGUGACUGUCGUUGAGUGACGGAUUCUGGAGGGCUCUUUUCUUCAGAGAAAGCCUUAACAUCCCAGGAGGUGCGUGAAUGGGGGCGUGGGUGGUGAGUGGAACUCUUCUCCAGGGUUGUACUUAAAUGAGUCCAUGUGAGUAUUCCUUUUAUAAACACCCCAGGGAGCCUGUUGUGUCCUGGAUGCCAGCAUGGCCAUCAUGAUGGAGAACAGGCAGCCUUAGCAUCUGGCUGUUUGGUCAUCUAUGAAGACGGAGUUAUUUUCAUUCUCCAGGAAGGACGUUCUAGGUGUUAAUAGCACUAAUUAUGUGACAGAUCAUGAGAGGAUAAUAAGAUGAGUGGGGCAGUCUGCUCUCAGUGGACACUUAGAUUAGAUGGAGAAACGCUUCUGAAGCAAGAAAUGCAACAAAAGGGGGCACCAAAACCAGGUAUUUGCAGUGAUUGGUGAUUUCUCUGUGCAAAUGCUAAGAAUGCCUUGAACAAUUCCUCUGUCAGCAAGUAAACCCAUAUUUGUAUUAUUAUGAUCUCUAUGUCUACCAAUACAUUACAGUACCAAUUUGCUGGAAAUUUGAAUUUCAGUCAAGUAAAUGCAAUUACUUUUUAUUUUAUUUGGAAAAGGUUCAUAGCCAUGGAAAUAGAAAUAAGUCUUUAUGCCUCAUGAAACUCCAAGAACACCACAGACUUUAUAUUAUUUGUCUUCAUGGUCUCCUUGAGAGAAGAGAGGCAGAAAAUUGAGGCGCCAAAGAGAUUAGUGUUUUCCAUGGCUCCAUGUGUGAGUCAGUGGUGAGGCCAGGCACGGGCCCUGUUCUAUUUAUUCUCUUUGAAAUAUCAUUCAAUUUUUCAUACUGCUUUUCUCUCCCAUAAAAUCAUUCUGAGAUAAUGAGAGUGAAGUUGCCAUUAGAGCCACUUUUCCACAGAGCCAGUGCUGCAAGGUAUAGGCACAGACCUGAUUUAGAUCAUCGAUCCAAUACCAAACCAAAAGGCCAAUUUGCUUAAAGGACUCAGCCUCAGUGUGGACGCAGGAAGGCAUGAGAGCCUGCUAACAGGUUUUUCAUUUUUAAAUCAGGCAUUCUGGAAUUGCAUAGGCAUGACCUUAAAACUUGAAAAUGUGUUUCUACCAACAGAUCAUUUCAGAGGUAUUUUAUUGUCUUGGAACAGUACCGGUAGGGAUUGAGGCUCCUUAUGAUGAACUUUUUAAUACCUUCUAAGUCAGGGGAUAUGUAGCACUUCGACAAUUUUUUAAAAAGGGAUAAUGAUAUGCAAUAAUCUUAUUACUUUACUUCUUCAAGAUGUGUUUUUAAGUAAGGCAUACAACGUCAAAAACCAAAUGGAGAAGAGAAAACCUAUAAUCUCCUUACACCUCUUAUCUACAUGCAAACCAGCAGGUGCUUAUGAAUUUACAUGUGACAAGGUUUGAGUCUCACCUUUGAAGUUUUCCUCUUCCUCUUCUCCUUCUCCUUGUUAAUCUCUGACCUUUCUUUCUUAACGGCACAUCCUUCAAACCUAUUUAAGGAAAAAAAUCUCUGCAGAAUGCGAUACAGAUAAAAAUCUAAAUUUCAUAAGCCAUUCUUAUGACCUGUAGAGAGUCAUUUUAAUGUUGACAAACAUAUUGAUAAAGGACUUCUUGUUGAAGAGUGGGGAGAUACUUGUUUUCACAAAAGUAUUCAUAUUUUAUAACUUUUCAGGGGGUUCUCAUGAGACUUUUACAGGGUAGAUGAGACAACAUAAAUGAAAGGGCUUUGUAAACUAUAACACACUAUACACAUGCUAUUCUUAUUUUGGUACAAUUCUAUUCCACUACUCAAUAAUACCAACUAGACUAAUUCAUGUGUAUUUUAAAAAUUCUAAAUACAAAGUUUGUUUGCUCCCUGGGUACUCUAGAACUGAUUCGUUGCCUGUUCCAUUAUAUUGUAAAAUACAUUAACCUUAUAGCCAUUGUAUUUUCUGAUCUGUUUACAUGCAUUUUAGACUUCUUAAGGUUCUUUAGAUGAUUUACUCAUUGGGUUGAUUUUUACUCCUAUAUCCAUUUCUUCCUAUCAGGAUCAUUUUACUUUCCAUCUGCCUAAGAAAAGCAGGUGCCCAUGCAAGAUUUAAUUAAAAAGCCAUUGCCAGCUAUAGAACUAUUGGCUUCCUACAUUACUCUAAUCAUGAAAUAAAAUAAUAGCUGGGUGAUGUUUUUCAAGAGGUCAUUAAAAAUUCUUUCUGAAGAAUACUUCUCCAUCCAUUUGCAAGAGAACCUCAAAGACUUGAGGUGAGCAAACCUAGGUGAGGCCUGACAAACUGUGUUUAGUAUUUCCCAGUUUGAGGUGAUACGAACCACAGUCAAACCUUCUUCAAGACUCAUUUCUUUGCUCUAAAAUUUUGUUUUGCAGGUGGUAUGUGAGCAGAUUUUGGUGAGAAAAAGGCACAUUUUAUUAGAAUCCUGGAUCUGGAUAAGUAAAAGAAAACAAGUCCUCUCCCCCCCUCCCCCACUCCCUGCCCUCCCUCCCUCCUUCUCUCUCUCUCUUUCUCUUUCUCUCAUCAGUGCCUGUCUCUCUCAUUUAAACGUCCUUUCAUUUUAUCUGUCGCCUUCCCCUUUUCUCUGAAGGAAGUGACUCCACACAUGCCCUUCACUAAAGGCUGGCCUGGUCUGGAGCCCAGGGAUCUCUCCAACGUGCUGAAAACAUUUCUGCUACAGAGCCAGGAGCCAGUAAUUAAGUCGGCACCAGCUGUUUAACUCCAGCUCUGUUUUCUUUGAGGUCAUCAGCUUUGGUCUCACCCCCACCCAACUCCUCUUUCUAAUUAACACAAAGAAGUAGGUCCUGAGAUUAUAUCGAAGCACUCACGUAUCUUUGAAUAUGGCAAAGGAAUGGGGAGGGCAAGCGAGGGUUAAAUUCAGCUCGGAAAACAAAUCAAACCAGCUUUGCAAACUCCAAAUACGUACAUUUGACUCUUACCUAAUAUAUAACUUUUCUUUUCUCCCGGGAAAGUUUUCCCUGUAUACCUCCCCACUUCUUACGUAACACAAACCACAAACCACCAAAGCAUGGAGUUGGCGACCCCUAAUUUGUAUGUGUGCACGGAUUUUAACGUGCAUGCUUUUUAUAGAGAUGUGUCCACAAAUAAUAGACGUGAAUGAGUAAGAGGUGCGUGUGACAGACACAGAAAGAACAUGAAUAUUUGUGCGCGAGGAGAGAGGAAGGAGAGAGAGAAAGGGAGGAGAGGGAGAACCGGAGAAAGGCGAAUGGAGCGUAGAAAACCGCUCCUGGGGUCCGCAAGGCUUUACCUGUCCCCUCCGAUCCCCUGACCCGUGGAGCAAGUGCAGCCAGCUAGCCGCAGAUCUCUCGCUGGGGUCCCAUCAUCGCCGCCUCCUUCGCCGCCGCCGCCGCCGCCGCCGCCGCCGCCGCCGCAGCUCCCGCCUUGCGGAGCUCAGCCCGCUGGUGAUUGACAGCUGGGCGGCCCGCGCGCGCGAGGCCCGCGCAGCUGCGGCGGCCGCCGGAAGGGCCACGUGCGUCCGCCGGGCGCGCUCCGGCGGCGCGUGGGCGGGGCCCCGCCGGGCGCGUGCGCCGUCCGGUCCCCGCCUGGUCGCGCUCUGGGAGGGAGCGGGGGCGGGGCGGCUGGCCGUCUGGGCGGCGUGUCGCUGCGUCCUAGGGAAGCGUCGCAGCACCCGGAGCAUGCUGUGCCCUCCUGCCCUCCUGGUGCCUUCUCCCGCCCAGCACAGCGCCUGGCCACAGCAGGUGCACUGCACGCUUAUUUUUAAAGUGAAUGUGUGCGUCUUGCGCCGCCGCCCCAUUUGGGAUACAUUUGGGGGUGUGCAGAGGCUUCUCCGGACUCUUGAGUUUUGUCCUUGGUGAGACAUGAGGCUUGUAAACAUCAUCAAGGAAGGAUCUACCCACAAUUCACUUUGAAUUCUACACAAUGCCGAGUCCAUCACUUUGUAUAAAGCGCCACCAGCCCUGGGCAGCACCUCUGUUUGCUCCUUGCCCACCCCUUUCCGGGUGCUCUGAGAGUCCAGACUGGCAGCUUCUUUGUCACUGGAUGUUGCACACAGCGUGACCUUUGGAACCCAGCUUGAACCAGAUGAGGAAACAGAAGCUUAGACAAAUUACAUGAUUGGCCUCAGUCCAUGAAGCUAGUAAGGGGCUGAGCGGAGUUCUGAAGUCAGGUCUCUGUACCACUCCACCGUAUUUUGAUGUAAGAGGGGUAGACCUCCCAGGGACCUCACAGCCCCUUCGCAGGGACUCUCCUGGGCUGCACUGCCGGCAGAAACAAGAGCCACACAGGAAGCCACCAACCUUAAAACUGAGUUAGCAGGUUGAAAACACAUGGCAAGACAGGGUCGUCUGCAUUGGUAGUGUCUUUGGCUUUCACGAUGAAUCACCUGCAUCCAUCACCAGUGUGUUGUGCCUCCUCACCUUCCACACCAGGCAAUUCUCUGAUACCAGCUGAGUAUCCUGCAAUUCAACUCAAGUUUGACACCGCCCACCUGGAGAUGGUUUCAGGUCCUACAGGGCAAUCAAGGCUCAGCAGACUCAGGAAGCGCUUUUUAACUCCUCCUUACCUGCCUGAAAGAAUUCAGAUGAGGACCUGUACAAGGAAGAGAACUAUUACCAGAGAUUGCCUGGAAGAAUGUCUUGAAGGCACGCAGGUUCCAAGCAUUUAGAAUCUGCAUUAUCAAGGAUAAUCAUACUGAAAACAAGUCUGCUAAACAAAAUCAGAUAUUCCUGAGAUGCCUGGCAUUAAUGAUGAAUGAAGGGAAGGUUAAAAAAAAAACAAACCAGUUAUCACUGUCAACCUUACAUUCUGAAUAUAAACCAGAUUGAUGUCCUUUCGAGACCUUUGUCGUAGGCACCAGAAUCAGCACAAGAUGAGCUUGCGAGGCCCACCUUGUUGCCCCCUGCAUCCCGCUUCGGAGUCCAAGCAGCAGAGGGACCCCCUUGUCUGUAGCUCUGUCCCCUGGGGUGAAAUGGAAUGAGAAGAGUUGGUGUUUCCUCUGGUGUGAGACUCUUGACUUCUGUUGCAGUAAGUGAUUGAGGGCUGGACUCCCUCAUUUUUGUCUUGUUGUUUUCGUGGGCUGCUCUGACAUCUGACAGAGCUCAGACACUGUGAAAAUUCCCACAGUCUAGUUAAGCUCAGCUGAGCUCCCCCAAGUGUGGAUACAAAGAGUCACAACGGAGUGAGGGCAUGUGAGGGCAUGUGCAAGAGCUCUGGUGAAGAGGGAGAGCCCCGGGAGGUUCUGAUUCAGCAUGGGGUCAGAGGUGGGCACGGGAGGCUAAGGUGCUCCUGGUGAGGAAGCAGCCUGCGUGGAUGGCCCACAGAGAAACUGCGAACAGAGUGUGUGGAAGACUUCAGGAAGCCCUGGUAGCGAUGAGGCUGGUCCCGUAGGCGGGGGGCCUCCUGAAGGAACCCAGACUUCAUUCCCGUGGGGAGCUGCUGGAAAUAAAAGAAAAGUAGAUUCAUCAGGGGAAGGUGAUGGUUCAUCUACUUCCAUUUGAAAUAAAAUGGUGGCUCAGUCA